rnacentral:rRNA from 1 species
UACGAAGGGGGGCUAGCGUUGUUCGGAAUUACUGGGCGUAAAGCGCACGUAGGCGGAUUGUUAAGUUAGGGGUGAAAUCCCAGGGCUCAACCCUGGAACUGCCUUUAAUACUGGCAAUCUCGAGUCCGAGAGAGGUGAGUGGAAUUCCGAGUGUAGAGGUGAAAUUCGUAGAUAUUCGCAAGAACACCAGUGGCGAAGGCGGCUCACUGGCCCGGUACUGACGCUGAGGUGCGAAAGCGUGGGGAGCAAACAGGG